ACGCUCGACACCUACGGGAGGCAGCAGUGGGGAAUAUUGCACAAUGGGGGAAACCCUGAUGCAGCGACGCCGCGUGAGCGAAGAAGUAUUUCGGUAUGUAAAGCUCUAUCAGCAGGGAANAUAAUGACGGUACCUGACUAAGAAGCUCCGGCUAAAUACGUGCCAACAGCCGCGGUAAUCUGAGCGGGCUGGCAAGGC
rnacentral:rRNA from 1 species